GAAUUUCGUCCCGAAAUUAGAAUUUAAGCAAAUAAGAAGUUACAAAUAACUAAGCGAAAAGGUGAGGGUAUUUCAGUUUCAUCUGAUCCUCACGUUCCCAAGUGAAUUCCGGUCCACGCUUUGCGUUCCAGCGCACCUUCACUAUCGGGAUACGGCUCUGCUUUGUUUGCUUGACCUCUCGGUCCAUGAUCUCUACUGGUUCCUCCACGAAGUUGAGGCUCUCGUUGAUCUCGAUCUCGUCGAGUGGAAUAACAAGAGUCUCGUCGGAUAGACACUUUUUCAAGUUUGACACGUGGAAGGUAGGAUGUACGUUACUGAGUUCUUUCGGUAGAUUGAGCUUGUAAGCCACAGGGCCGAUUCUUGCGAGAAUCUCGAAAGGCCCUAUGUAUCUUGGAUUGAGCUUCCCACGCUUUCCAAAGCGUAUCAAGCCCUUCCAGGGUGAGACCUUCAGUAGGACUCGGUCGCCCACCUGGAACUCCAAUGGUUUCCUACGCUUGUCAGCGUAGCUUUUCUGUCGGUCUCUAGAGGCUUUCAAUCGUUCACGAAUUUGAACGAUCUUCUCUGUCGUUUCCCGAAUGAUCUCCGGACCCGUGAGAGUGCUUUCGGGAACUCGUCCCUUAGCUAACUGGGUAUCACCCACUUCAGCCCAGCACAGAGGGGAUCUGCACUUUCGGCCAUAGAGGGCCUCGAAUGGAGCUGCCUUUAUGCUCGUAUGAUAACUGUUGUUGUAGGAAAAUUCAACAAGGGGUAAAUGAGUAUCCCAAGCUUUUCCAAAGUCAAUCACACAGGCACGCAACAUAUCUUCUAAGGUUUGGAUAGUUCUCUCACUUUGCCCGUCGGUCUGUGGAUGGUAGGCUGUACUCAUGUCCAGCCUAGUUCCUAGGGAACUUUGUAAUGACUGCCAGAACCUCGAAGUGAAUCUACUAUCUCGGUCCGAGAUGAUAGAUAAAGGAACACCGUGCAGCCUUACAAUCUCCCUAAUGUAAGUUCUGGUAAGUUUCUCCAUCUUGUCUGUUUCUUUGAUCGGUAGGAAGUGUGCAGACUUGGUCAGUCUAUCGACGAUGACCCAUAUGGAAUCAAGUCCACCCGUCGUCUUGGGCAACUUGGUUAUGAAGUCCAUAGUGAUCCGCUCCCACUUCCAUUCUGGUAUCUCCGGUUGUUGUAGAAGACCGGAGGGUUUCUGGUAUUCGACCUUGACCUUUGCGCAAGUAAGGCAUUUACUCACGAAGGUAGCAAUAUCUGCUUUCAUGUUAGGCCACCAGUAUAACUUUUUAAGAUCCAGAUACAUCUUAUCUGAACCCGGGUGGACGGAAUAACGAGUGUUGUGAGCUUCGGUCAUGACCAAGUCUCUGAAGCCACCGUGUUUCGGUGUCCAGAUCCGAUCCAUGAGGUAUAAGGCUCCGCCACCCUUGACUUCCAAGUUCUUAUCCAUCCCUCUAAGGGAUUCACCCGCCACGUUUUCAGGUUUCAAAGCGUCGAGCUGAGCCUCCUUUAUUUGCGUGGACAAGUGUGAAUGGAUAGUUAGAGUCAAAGAUUUGACUCUACGACCAGUAUAUUCUUUCCGACUUAGGGCGUCGGCUACUACAUUGGCUUUACCCGGAUGAUAACGAAUUUCGCAUUCGUAAUCACUAAGUAGCUCGACCCACCGUCGUUGUCUCAUGUUGAGCUCUUUCUGGUCGAAAAUGUGUUGUAGACUCUUAUGGUCUGUAAAGAUCGUGCUUUUUGUACCGUAUAGGUAAUGUCGCCAGAUCUUCAGAGCAAACACAACUGCUCCUAGUUCAAGAUCGUGGGUUGUGUAGUUAACCUCAUGUGUCUUCAGCUGUCUCGAGGCAUAGGCGAUGACUUUACCUCGCUGCAUCAGAACACAUCCGAGUCCUUGAUUGGAUGCAUCGCAAUAGACAAUGAAGUCUUCUAUCCCUUCGGGAAGGGAUAGUAUCGGGGCGGUGCACAAGGCUCGUUUGAGCGUUUGGAACGCUCUUUCCUGUUUCUCUUCCCAGUCGAAGGCCACGCCUUUCUGGGUCAGGGUUGUAAGAGGUUUCGCUAUGCUGGAGAAGUUCUGAAUGAACCUGCGAUAGUAGCCAGCUAGACCUAGAAAUUGACGAAUUUCAGUAGGUGUCUUUGGUGCUGACCAGUUCUCGAUGGCCUUAAUUUUGGAAGGGUCCACGUGUAUACCUUCUUCGCUAACAACAUGGCCCAAAAAUUCGACUCGCCGAAUCCAAAAUUCGCACUUGGAGAACUUCGCGUAGAGCUUCUCCGAUCGCAAUGUUUCUAAGAUUUUACGGAGAUGUUGACUAUGUUCCUCCUUACUUCGAGAGUAGAUGAGUAUGUCAUCAAUGAAGACGAUGACGAACUGAUCCAAGUAAGGACGACACACCCUAUUCAUCAGAUCCAUGAAUACUGCGGGCGCGUUAGUUAAUCCGAAUGGCAUCACUACAAACUCGUAGUGCCCAUAACGAGUUCGGAAGGCUGUCUUGGGAACAUCCUCCUCUAACACUCGUAGUUGGUGAUAUCCGGAUCGCAGAUCUAUCUUCGAGAAGUAGUUGGCUCCUUGAAGUUGAUCAAAUAAAUCGUCAAUGCGGGGCAAGGGAUAACGAUUUUUAAUGGUAAGUUUGUUGAGUUCUCUAUAGUCGAUGCACAUGCGAAACGAUCCAUCUUUCUUCUUGACGAACAAGACCGGUGCUCCCCAUGGUGAGAAGCUUGGUCGAAUGAAUCCCUUCUUGAGAAGUUCGUUAAGUUGACUGGAAAGUUCCUGCAUUUCAGCCGGUGCAAGACGAUAAGGAGAUUUGGCUACGGGGGUAGCCCCUGGCACUAAGUCGAUUCUGAACUCGACUUGGCGUUGUGGUGGUAAACCGGGAAGUUCUUCUGGGAAUAUGUCGGGAAAGUCGCGUACUUCUGGGAUUUUCUGGAUGUCUUUCAGUUCUUGACUGGUAUCGACGACGUGUGCGAGAAAUGCAUGGUACUCCUUCCGCAAGCACUUCUGGGCUUGAAUGCACGAAAUGAUGCGAAGGCUCGUACUAGGUUUGUCGCCGUAGAUAACUAAGGUUUCGUUGUUAGGAAGGUUAAGACGAACUGCUUUUUCGAAGCACAUAAUGUCGGCACGAAGAAGACUCAACCAAUCCAUACCGAUGAUAACGUCGAAACAUUUAAUUGUGACUGGCAUGAGAUCUAUCUUGAAAGUAUGGCCAUCUAAAGUUAAGGUACAACCUACGUAUAUGCAGUUUGUACUCUCUGUUUUCCCGUUAGCCAUUUCUACCGUGAAUGAAUUAUCUAAUGCACAUGGUUUUUGUUUAAGCAGGUGUGCAAAUUUGUGACUUACAAAACUUUUCUCGGCUCCACUAUCGAAAAGUAUGCAAGCAUAUGAGUUAUCGAGGAGGAACGUACCAGUAACUAUCGUAGGAUCAGCUACUGCUUCCUCGUGGCCUAGGGCCAUAACUCUUCCCACUCCUCCAGCCAUCCCUGCUUUAGGGCAGUUCCUUUUGUAGUGGCCCACUUCGCCACAUCCGUAGCAAGCUUGGCCCAUACCGGCGUUAGGAACCUGGGCAGCUUGAGCUGUUGGAGUUUUGCAGAAACGGACGGUGUGUCCCUUCUUGUUGCAGUUAGAGCACUGCAUCUCCCUGCAAGGUCCGUGGUGGUGGAAGUUGCACUUGGUGCACUUCGGGAGAGUCCCAGCAUAUGUUUUUGCUGGUAAGAGGUUCGCAGGGGCAACAGGAGUCACUGUGGCAGCAUUGAUCGCCACAAGUUGUUGCUUAUUGGAGGAUCCUUGCGGAGCCCCUCUUUUCCUCUUAUUCCACCCCUUCUUGUGGUAGUCGGGGUUGGACUUUUGUGGUACAGGUGUAGGGAUUGUUGUGUUCUGAGGUUUCCGGUGAUCGAUGAGGGAUUGUGCUAGUUCCUUGGCGCUAUCAAAGGUAAUAGGCCUGGAAGCGAUCACACUUGACUGGAUCUGGGGCGACAGUCCCCAGAUAUAUCUCUCGAUCUUUUUGCUCUGGAGAGCAACCAUGUCGGGGCAUAAGUUUGCCAAAUCACAAAACCUAUUUGUGUAGGUAGUGAUGUCGGAUCCAACCAUUUGUAGACCCCAGAAUUCUUGCUCGAGUUUUUGUAUUUCACCUCGAGGACAGUAUUCUUUCAUCAGCAUGUCUUUCAACUUUUCCCAGCCGAUGGAAUACGCCACCACCAAAGUUAGAUAGUUAACAUGGCUGUUCCACCAUGUUAGUGCUCGGUCAGAGAAGGUACAAGCUGCGAACUUGACCUUGUUGCCUUCCUGGCAUCCGCAGAUCUCGAAGACAGAUUCCAUCUUCUCAAUCCACUGUCUCAACACCAUAACACCCCCAGUUCCAUUGAAGCUGCGGGGUUUGGCGUUAGUGAAGUCCUUGUAGGUGCAUUCCCGAGGGUGUCCAUGGCUUUCGCCGUGGUUCGAGGGUGGUGCACCUGUUCCUGAUCCACUAGGGGCAGGAGCGUUGAUUGCUGACACAGCAGCUGCAACUGCUGCUGUGAAAGCUGCCUGGAACAUAGUGGCAUCAAAAGGAUUUGGUGGUUGAAGAGGUACAGGUGGUGGUGGAGGUGGUGGUAUUGGUGCUUCGUUGUUUGGGUUCCUCCUUGGAUUCCUGCGUGGCGGCAUCUUUAACUAUACGUUUAAAAGAUGACGACAUGGAUAAGAAUAAAUGAUAAAUGAAUGUGUCUCAUGGACUAAAUCCCCAUAGUCCAACAACAGAAAGAAUAGCAUGACUAAAUGAAGAAGAUAGCAUUUGGAUAAUAAUUUCCAUAAGAUUAGAUAUCUGUCAAUAAUACUGGAAUUACAGAUGUAACAAGUUCGGGAAAAAUGGCCUAGAAGUAGGCCUUACAUCAACCAAGAUGGAAAAUUUUGACAGAAUUAAGACUAGAUCAAGACCUAACAGGUCUAAGAUUUAUACAGAUAGGAAAUUAGACCAAAGUUUUACAUAAACUAGGUUAUAUCCAAAAGAUGAGUCGACGAGAUUCUAUCGGCGACGAGAACUGCUAGCAUGAGUCCUCGAUCCCGACAGUAGACGUUCAAUGUCCCUUAUACGCCUGUCCGACCUUGCUUGCUGAGCUCGAAGUUCUCUAACUUCAGCUUGGGUUUCAGCAAGUUCCCUUUGCAGAUUUGCAUUGCGGACCAGAGUCCUUUCAUGAGCAGACUCUAGUUGGCGAAUGUGGACAGUGUUAACACCAGAGUUGGCGUCAACUUCCAAGACUUGAUUGAUAGUCGCCUGAGCCAUUAUCGUGUUCCGAGAAAUCCUACGCACCAUGAUUGGUAGGACUCUAUCAGCAGAACCUCCUUCAGUGAGGUUGUAGAAACUUCGGUCUCCAUUGUAGGGAAUGGGCUGACCCUGUUCAUGACUCCAUGUAAUCAAGUUAGUGGCCCACAGAGGUGUGGGUCCUUGAAACACAGGGCGAGGGUUCAGGUUUGGGUUUUGAGCAGCUGGGGGUAGGUUGUUGACUUCUGGCUCCGAGUCAGAACUAUCGGAAAAACCCUCAGCAUGGUGAUCAUCCAAAGGGAUUGGGUGAUCAUCUUCUGGUUCUGCCUCUAGCCAACCAGCAUUGCCUUGGUUCGGGAAGUACGGAUCGCCAUGGUGAAAUCCAGCCAUUUUAAUCUACGCGAGAAAAGGGAUUAUAAGAAAUAGCUAAAUAGACGAACUGACUAAGAUAAUUACAGUAAGACCAAAUACCCCUAUGGUAUUUCUUUAUGGUUGUGUUGGUAAGUUUUUAGACUUGUUGCCAUAUCACAACCAUUCUUGGGCAUAUGCUAAUCACUCCUCGGACCAGCAUAGUUGAUCAGGCUAUGCCAUUCCCAAGACUGACCAUAUAUCCCCAGGCUUACUUGUGAUAUUCAACAAUCGUAAUACUUUUGUUCUUGUCAUUGUGACACUGAUUUUAGUAUGAAUGCAGGCACGUAUACUUACUUAAAUAUUUUAUUAUUUAAAAGUAUAACUCUUAGACAGAGUGUUUUAAUCCCAAUGUAUUUAUAGUUAGUAUAUCUUUUAUGGGUUGAUAUACUAUAUUCACUAUAAACAAUGCUCUGAUACCAAUCUGUCACACCCCAAAACCACGAACGGCGGAAACGUUCAGGGGUGGAGGACGUCAUGUACAGUAUCACAACAGUGUAAUAUAAUAAACAAGCAACAACAUCAUCCAUUGCAUUAUAAGUAAAGUUUUAAUACAUGUGUGUUCUUUCAUUGUAGUAAGACACCAAAAAUAUACAAUCAAAAUAAAAGACGAGACUUGUCUGCUCCGUCUUCUCAAAACCUGGCCAUCGUACCUGUCUACUGUUGACCUGAGAAUACAAGUUAUUUUGAAAGAGAGUAUCAGCUUUAAAGCUGGUGAAUUCAUAAGUAUUUAAGUGUCAUUGUCUUGCUUACUAAAAGCUGUUUUAAAAGUCAUGUAAACCUUUAAAUGAAAAUGUUGAUGUAAGUAUGAAAAGCCCUAGAAAAUCCCUUAUUUUCUAUCAGUUUGAGAUGUAGUCUUCUACCAAGACCCGAAUGUUUUGUUAUGACAAUGUAGUCUUCUACCAAGACCCGAAUGUUUUGUUAUGACAAUGUAGUCUUCUACCAAGACCCGAAUGUUUUGUUAUGACAAUGUAGUCUUCUACCAAGACCCGAAUGUUUUGUUAUGACAAUGUAGUCUUCUACCAAGACCCGAAUGUUUUGUUAUGACAAUGUAGUCUUCUACCAAGACCCGAAUGUUUUGUUAUGACAAUGUAGUCUUCUACCAAGACCCGAAUGUUUUGUAAUUACAAUGUAGUCUUCUACCAAGACCCGAAUGUUUUGUUAUGACAAUGUAGUCUUCUACCAAGACCCGAAUGUUUUGUUAUGACAAUGUAGUCUUCUACCAAGACCCGAAUGUUUUGUAAGUAAAAUGAUAGCUUUUCCUUCUUAUUGACUAGUACUAAAAGUACUUAGUCUAACUCAUCGUUUAUGUGAAAAUAUCACAAAAUAAAGUAAACAGGAAAAUGUACUACUGUAAGUGUUGUCACUGGGUACUAGGACUAACACAACAUCGCAUUAAGCGAAAUAUAUAACCUAAUGAACAUCCGAAGAUUGUCCAGAACAAGUAUUAAUGUAAGUUGUACUACUGUAAGUGUUGUCACUGGGUACUAGGACUAACACAACAUCGCAUUAAGCGAAAUAUGUAACCUAAUGAACAUCCGAAGAUUGUCCAGAACAAGUAUUAAUGUAAGUGGUACUACUGUAAGUGUUGUCACUGGGUACUAGGACUAACACAACAUCGCAUUAAGCGAAAUAUGUAACCUAAUGAACAUCCGAAGAUUGUCCAGAACAAGUAUUAAUGUAAGUGUCAUCGCUGGGUACUAGGAGUAACACAACAUCGCAAUAAGCGAAAGGUAUAACCUUAUGAACAAUCGAAGAUUGUCCACUUGUCCUCUGUAGCAGCAGCAGGUGGGUGGAGGGGUUAGCCCCGGUUAUCGAUCUACCUAGUAUAAGUAGUAACCUUAGACCUCCGUAGAUGGUCAUCGACCACUGGUGCUAAUCAGUGGGGUUCGGAAUGGUAAGUCCCGCCGAGAUAUCCCAUUGAACCGGGAUAGGAAAGAUAAUUUACACAGAAAGUACUAAUAAAUCAUCCUCGUAGUUCUAAGUACAAGUAUCCAGGUAAGUGAAUACAGGAUAAUGCACCUAUGUAAAAGUGUUCCUGUAUGGUAUUCAUGUAAGUGUGUUCAUGUAACAGGUAAGUAUAUGUAAACAUAUUCAUGUAUCAUGUAAUCCUAAGUACGUGUACUCAUGUAUCAUGUAAGGUAUUGGUAUAGACUCAUGAAUGAACUGACUCUUGUGUGAUUCCUUGUAGUAGUAAUAAUGUUUGAUAUCUUCUAACUAUCCCUAUGAUAGUUAACUGAAAGGUAAUUGGUUGUUUACGUAGGUUUAUGCACUCUUGCUACCCAAGAGUAUUGGAAACUAAAUGAAGGGUGAAAACUAUAAUCUCUAACAUAUAUAUGAACAUAUGCGCAUAAGUAUAGUUUGAUUCAAGAAGGUAAAAUAAUGGUUUUGCAAGAUAUCUAGGAGUUUUGAACAAUAAUUAAGAAUGACUUGAUGUCAUUUUAAUAAACAUUUCAAAACUAAUACUUUUGUUAUCAAGGUAUUUUAAGAUAGAAAACCACUUCAUGUGUCACCUUUUGAAAUAUGUGAAAUCUACUGAGUGAAAACACAGUUAUAAAAUACAUAAGAUUGAUUUAAUAACAUACUGUUUUCUACUUGUAUUCCCCCCCUUAAAACGUUUAAAAUCAUUUAAAACAUUGAUUAAGGGGUAUAAACUCACCUGUAGUUGGUGAUUGGGAUGAACUGAACGGUAUAGGAUUGCUAGGUGUCAAGCGAGGACUUGUACACACACUACGAUCCUAAUGAACAUAUAAUCACACAUAUAUGCACUCAAUUAGUCUCAAAUCACUAAUUGAUAAUGUUAAGACAUCCUAGACAUAAUAAACACUUUAUAUAAGUGUUUUAAGCCCUAAGGAUUGCAUCUAAGCUAUUGUGGGACAAGGCACUUGUGUUUAGGGUUCCAAAGGACCCCAUAUAUGAGUUUACUCCUCAUAUACCAACACACAUGGAGUUUACGGUUGUAAACUCUUGAGUUUACGGCCGUAAACUCCCAACCAUGGGGGUAUUGUGUGUUUUGAAGUCCCAAAUGAUUCCUAGAAUUAUUCCAACUUGGUGGUUAAAUUCUUGGAAGGGUUUAAGGCCUAGAAACACUCCUUAGAGGAGUUUACGGCCCCAAGGCCAUUUCCUUUGGAGUUUACGGCCGUAAACUCCCUUGGAAUGGUGUUUUUGUUGCUUUCAAGUCUCUUGCAUAUGUAGGAUAGGUUCUAGACUUUUACCUAAAGCAUAUGAAGGCAUUAGGCACACUUUGGUGCCCUUCUUUCAUGUUUACGGCCCAAGAACCAUGUCUUGGCCGUAAACUCACUUUGGAAGGUGAUUUUGAUGUGUUUUGGUCCUUGAUUUAAGUGGGAACAAUUCCUAGUAAAUGUCCAAUGCUUUAGGUGCCUUAAAAGCACCCUUUUGUGCAUGAUUUUGGAGUUCACGGUCCAAGAUCAUCUUGGGCCGUGAACUCCCAAACUUGGGUGGUUCUUUGAUGUUUUCUUGUCCCUAAUACACUCUUAUAUAAGUCCAAGGCAGUAGUAUAUCUCGGGGGAAAGGCUAGGCAUUCGUUUCGGGAGUUUACCGCCCAAGAACACCUUGGGGAGUAAACUCCUAGAUCUAAUGAUUUAGCCAUCUAAAUCAUGUUAUAAGCACAUAAUAAUCUCUCUAACAAUACUAGAAAGAGGUACUCACAAUUUGGGAUAAAAAACCGAAGAUCCGUCAGAGAGAAAAUGGCUUUUCUCUAGUUGGAAAUGUGAAUAAUGAAUGAAUUUGGUUCAGAAUUCUAUUUAUAGUCCUGAGAUAUUUUUGGCAGAAAAUAUUUUUAUUCCUGAAAUGAUCUCUAAUAUAAUAGAGUGUUGGAAUAACAGUGUUGCACAAAACCCUAGUGCACCCACUCUCCUGAUAUUUCCUGAAGUGUAAACCCUGAAUUACUCAAACUUACGCGAAAAGUCUGAAAAUUAACUGUGACUGCUACAACUUCUAUUGAAGUGAUAUAGUUUGUACAUAAUGGAAAUUCCGGGUUGUCACAUCAUCCCCCCGUUAGAAUGAAUUUCAUCCCGAUAUUAUAAUUUAAGCAAAUAAGAAAUUACAAAUAACUAAGCAAAAAGGUGAGGGUGUUUUAGUUUCAUCUGAUCCUCACGUUCCCAAGUGAAUUCCGGUCCACGCUUUGCGUUCCAGCGCACCUUCACUAUCGGGAUACGGCUCUGCUUUGUUUGCUUGACCUCUCGGUCCAUGAUCUCUACUGGUUCCUCCACGAAGUUGAGGCUCUCGUUGAUCUCGAUCUCGUCGAGUGGAAUAACAAGAGUCUCGUCGGAUAGACACUUUUUCAAGUUUGACACGUGGAAGGUAGGAUGUACGUUACUGAGUUCUUUCGGUAGAUUGAGCUUGUAAGCCACAGGGCCGAUUCUUGCGAGAAUCUCGAAAGGCCCUAUGUAUCUUGGAUUGAGCUUCCCACGCUUUCCAAAGCGUAUCAAGCCCUUCCAGGGUGAGACCUUCAGUAGGACUCGGUCGCCCACCUGGAACUCCAAUGGUUUCCUACGCUUGUCAGCGUAGCUUUUCUGUCGGUCUCUAGAGGCUUUCAAUCGUUCACGAAUUUGAACGAUCUUCUCUGUCGUUUCCCGAAUGAUCUCCGGACCCGUGAGAGUGCUUUCGGGAACUCGUCCCUUAGCUAACUGGGUAUCACCCACUUCAGCCCAACACAGAGGGGAUCUGCACUUUCGGCCAUAGAGGGCCUCGAAUGGAGCUGCCUUUAUGCUCGUAUGAUAACUGUUGUUGUAGGAAAAUUCAACAAGGGGUAAAUGGAUAUCCCAAGCUUUUCCAAAGUCAAUCACACAGGCACACAACAUAUCUUCUAAGGUUUGGAUAGUUCUCUCACUUUGCCCGUCGGUCUGUGGAUGGUAGGCUGUACUCAUGUCCAGCCUAGUUCCUAGGGAACUUUGUAAUGACUGCCAGAACCUCGAAGUGAAUCUACUAUCUCGGUCCG
rnacentral:lncRNA from 1 species